rnacentral:misc_RNA from 1 species
AACGCACAUUGCGCCCGCUAGUAUUCUGGCGGGCAUGCCUGUUCGAGCGUCAUUUCAACCAUCAAGCCCUAGGCUUGCGUUGGAGCCCUGCGGCUGCCGCAGGCUCCCAAAUCCAGUGGCGGGCUCGUCGUCGUACCGAGUGCAGUAAACAUCCUCGCUCAGGGAACGUGACGGGUUCUUGCCGUGAAACCCCCCACAUAUCAAGGUUGACCUCGGAUCAGGUAGGAAUACCCGCUGAACUUAA